AUUGAACGCUGGCGGCAUGCCUUACACAUGCAAGUCGAACGGUAACGCGGGGGCAACCCUGGCGACGAGUGGCGAACGGGUGAGUAAUACAUCGGAACGUACCCAGUAGUGGGGGAUAGCUCGGCGAAAGCCGGAUUAAUACCGCAUACGACCUAUGGGUGAAAGCGGGGGAUCGCAAGACCUCGCGCUAUUGGAGCGGCCGAUGUCGGAUUAGCUAGUUGGUGAGGUAAAGGCUCACCAAGGCUACGAUCCGUAGCUGGUCUGAGAGGACGACCAGCCACACUGGGACUGAGACACGGCCCAGACUCCUACGGGAGGCAGCAGUGGGGAAUUUUGGACAAUGGGCGAAAGCCUGAUCCAGCCAUGCCGCGUGUGUGAAGAAGGCC
rnacentral:rRNA from 1 species